CGGCGGACGGGUGAGUAACGCGUAGGCAACCUGCCCUUUGCAGAGGGAUAGCCUCGGGAAACCGGGAUUAAAACCUCAUGACACCUCUUAAAGACAUCUUUGAGAGGUCAAAGAUUUAUCGGCAGAGGAUGGGCCUGCGUCUGAUUAGCUAGUUGGUGGGGUAACGGCCUACCAAGGCGACGAUCAGUAGCCGACCUGAGAGGGUGAUCGGCCACAUUGGAACUGAGACACGGUCCAA
rnacentral:rRNA from 1 species